GACUCUAAAGGGGUGGACCACGAAAAACGUUCGGUCACGAUUCUAAAGGGGGUGACCACGAAAAACGUUCGAUCACGACUCUUAAGCGUGUGACCACGGAAAACGUUCAGUCACGACUCUACGGGGUGUGCCCAGCAGGCCCGUAUCGACGUUUCGUCCGGCCUGGAGAGUUUGGCCGUGGUCUAAUAUGCCCCCAAAAAAACUUUAAAUCCCGAUUUUAUCCAGUGUAUUCUAUUGCCGACCCCGGCGAUACGGCCCAUUGGGCUGUACGGCCUGGAGAGUGUCUCUCCACCCCUCUCCAGCCUCGCUACGGGCCUGGGUCAAGAGUUCAAGCGUAGUCGAUUCCAGCAGUGUUCAAUUGUUCUACUGUUCAGCCGAUAUUAUCUGAAAAAAAUCUGAUAGUGUUCCUGGCAGAUAUUUCAUAAUAAUUUCCAAAAACCAAAUAGCGUCUCAAAAAUUUCCAAGGAAUUAAGACUAUUAAUACUGGCUGAACAGUAACGUUUGAAACACGUUUCGGCGCUUGAAGCGAUAGCCCACCCUCUAGCGCUGAUAAGCAACCAACGUCCGGUAGUUGGCGCUGGUAGGUAAAUUUAAAUUAGUAAGGCACGGGUUAAGUGUAAACCAUAGCUUGGGGUCACAGGUCAAGUGUCAACCCUUGAGGGUGUGCCGCGGUCAUAGGUCAAAUGUCAAGUCUAGUGGGUGUGCCCAGGUCGCAGGUCAAUUGUCAAGCCUAGUGGGUGUGCCCAGGUCAAGUGUCAAGUCUAGUGGGUGUGCCCAGGUCACAGAUCAAGUGUCUAAUUUAGGGGGUGUGCACAGGUCAAAUGUCAACUCUGGGGGCGUGCCCGUUCAUGUGAUCAAGUUUCGACGUUUCUAAAGGGUGUGUUCGUUGUACGUUUUGACACUUUAGCGAAAAACGCCCUCUAGAAACGAAAAAUGCAACAUAGUGCCCAAACUGCCGCUAGGUGACGUUAGCUUGGGCAAUGUGAGACACGUGUGUAAUCAAGCGCCAAGUUCAACUGGUAACACACACACACACACACCACUGCACAAUUCUUGGUUCUGAUUUCAAUGAAUAUGAGAUUUUCAAGUUUGACCCUGUAGCGAAGAGCACUUCAGCGGUCAAGCUCCCAGUUAGGGUUCGUGAUAAUCCAACCGUUUCAUACAAUGAGACAAGUAGCGUUAUCUACAUCAUUGGAGGACGGGAAGUACUAAGUUGAUCUGGAGCAACUCUUCCAUAUGAGGUACUUGAUGCCAGCGUUGUUUAAUUACUUGAAUAUGUUUUUGUUGGUACUGCAUCCCGUGUCGGGAGCAAAACUUACAUUUACGGGCUGAUUGGUCCACGAAAUGCGUUGGAAUUGGACCUGGAAUCAUUCCGUGCUAUGCUCGUGGGACCUCCCACUCUUCCAAAUUUCGCCUUAUUUCCUUCGUCCGUCUUUGAUCGGAGGUAUAUUUACCUAAUGGGAGGAUACGACCCGUGGGACGACGAGGUGCUGGGAGACGGCCUGUACCAAUUUGAUACAGUCACGUUCGAAAACGAGUUCAUCCCUGUGACGAAUUUACCCCUCCUUACUGAACACAAGUCCUAUGUACGAGCUCCCGCCAUGGUCUUUGUCCCCUCGCUGGACAGAAUCUACUUCUUCGGGGGGUGGGAGGUGGAGAAAAAUUUGACCGAGUAUCCGCACAACGAAAUUUUCUAUGUUGACCUUACACCCUUGCGUCUCGUGUAAUGCAGGGUGAAAUGAUAACCCAAAAUAAAAUGUGUACGUUUGAAUUCUAAUUAAACAAUAAUUGACGCCCUAAAUAAAAUUUGAGUAUAACGAGAACUUUGACUUUGAAACAUUAAAAUGCUUCGUUAAAAUUUGUAA